rnacentral:piRNA from 1 species
UGGCAGCUUCUGAGAUCUACAGACUGG